rnacentral:rRNA from 1 species
AGAGUUUGAUCCUGGCUCAGAUUGAACGCUGGCGGCAUGCCUUACACAUGCAAGUCGAACGGUAACAGGUUAAGCUGACGAGUGGCGAACGGGUGAGUAAUAUAUCGGAACGUGCCCAGUCGUGGGGGAUAACGCAGCGAAAGCUGUGCUAAUACCGCAUACGAUCUAUGGAUGAAAGCGGGGGACUUGCAAGAGCCUCGCGCGAUUGGAGUGGCCGAUAUCAGAUUAGCUAGUUGGUGGGGUAAAAGCUCACCAAGGCGACGAUCUGUAGCUGGUCUGAGAGGACGACCAGCCACACUGGAACUGAGACACGGUCCAGACUCCUACGGGAGGCAGCAGUGGGGAAUUUUGGACAAUGGGCGCAAGCCUGAUCCAGCAAUGCCGCGUGCAGGAUGAAGGCCUUCGGGUUGUAAACUGCUUUUGUACGGAACGAAACGGCUCCUUUUAAUACAAGGGGCUAAUGACGGUACCGUAAGAAUAAGCACCGGCUAACUACGUGCCAGCAGCCGCGGUAAUACGUAGGGUGCGAGCGUUAAUCGGAAUUACUGGGCGUAAAGCGUGCGCAGGCGGUUAUAUAAGACAGAUGUGAAAUCCCCGNGCUCAACCUGGGACCUGCAUUUGUGACUGUAUAGCUAGAGUACGGUAGAGGGGGAUGGAAUUCCGCGUGUAGCAGUGAAAUGCGUAGAUAUGCGGAGGAACACCGAUGGCGAAGGCAAUCCCCUGGGCCUGCACUGACGCUCAUGCACGAAAGCGUGGGGAGCAAACAGGAUUAGAUACCCUGGUAGUCCACGCCCUAAACGAUGUCAACUGGUUGUUGGGUAUUUACUUACUCAGUAACGAAGCUAACGCGUGAAGUUGACCGCCUGGGGAGUACGGCCACAAGGUUG